AUCUCAAAUGAGGUAAGACUACCCGCUGAACUUAAGCAUAU
rnacentral:rRNA from 1 species